rnacentral:lncRNA from 1 species
AAGGCACAAUGACGGCCUCUCCCCAACAAAAGGAGAGCCAGGUGGGCCUCUCAAUCCAGACCACAGAGAGUUGGCAGGGUCAGUGAGGGCUGAGUUGAGGCUUAGUCAGCAAGAAAUACCACCGGUCCCUGACCAAGCCAAGAGUGUCCAGCAUAGUCCCUGGUGAAUGAUGAUAAAUGAAUCUAGAUAAAGAAAACAAAAACCUUCAGUGGGGCAAGAAUGACUUCAGAAAAGCAGCAUGUGUCAGCAGACACAACAGUAUCUCAUCGCCAAAGACCAAUACCAAUACAACCAGUGCAAC